CCAGCCACGGCGCGGCUCCCCUCCGCCACCCACGGCGUCGUGCGCAGGCGGCGAUGCCACCUCCAAGCCAGCCUCCCCUGACCUGCCGCUAGAUGGGAUCUUGUUUGCCCGCCGCGUCCGACAAGCCGACAGUCGCCGCUACCCCGGUUCUGCAGGGGAUAUGCACCGGCCUCCCCAACCUCCUUCAUCCAUGGAUCCGGCCUGCAUUUCGCGGCCGCCACAACCGGCCCCGCUGCUGCUACCCUCGGCGUCCAGCGGCGGCGUCCACAGGCUAUCCCCUCCGACAAACAGCGUGAGCUCCCCCUUCCUCCUAUCUGGCCUGGCCAUCAACCUCCUGCUGUUCGUCGAGUCCGGAUCCGUUGCGACCUCCCCCCGCACUGGAAUCGGGCUGACCUGCUCCCCGUGGAUCCGCCACCUCCCCCCAUGAUCUGGGCACAGCAGCGCCCCGGUGCAGCUCCUCCUCAACUAACCCCACGCCGGCGGCAAGUCGUGGGCCGUGUGCCCCUGCUCACAUGCUUCAGCGUGGAUUUCCGGGGUAGGAGCACGGGGCUUGGUGCGCUCGUCCACCCCCGACAACAUCAGGAGGCCACCUCGUGCAGCAACGUGGCCAAGGCGUAGACCUGGGGCUCGUUCCCCUCCUCUUCGGUAAUGUGUGGCUCUCCACAGUGCAUCACCUCGGCAAAGGUCCUCCCGGCGAGAUCCAGCUGGCCUUGCAGUUCGUCUGUCCUUGGCUGUGGCUGGGCUUCCUGUCCACUGCACUUCGCUUGGUUCGACCGCAAAGACGAGCUCCUCUUUGCCGAGGAGCAAAAUUCUUCAUCGUCCAGCUAAGGAUGCAGUCCAUCGGGGCGAUGUGCUGUCCACGACGAGCCCCAAUGCAGUGCAGAAAUGAAGAAACAUCAAAAAAGACAAACAAAAAUUGUACUGCGCUCCUGGGUGAUCAGUGCGGUGCCCCUGAUGCAGUUUGACAGCUCACUAUAGCAGUACAUAACGGCAGUAUCAUGUUUGAGAAAAGUUAUUUUUUGGAUGA